GACGAACGCUGGCGGCGUGCCUAAUACAUGCAAGUAGAACGCUGAAGGAGGAGCUUGCUUCUCCGGAUGAGUUGCGAACGGGUGAGUAACGCGUAGGUAACCUGCCUGGUAGCGGGGGAUAACUAUUGGAAACGAUAGCUAAUACCGCAUAACAGUAGAUAUUGCAUGAUAUCUGCUUGAAAGGUGCAAUUGCAUCACUACCAGAUGGACCUGCGUUGUAUUAGCUAGUUGGUGAGGUAACGGCUCACCAAGGCGACGAUACAUAGCCGACCUGAGAGGGUGAUCGGCCACACUGGGACUGAGACACGGCCCAGACUCCUACGGGAGGCAGCAGUAGGGAAUCUUCGGCAAUGGACGGAAGUCUGACCGAGCAACGCCGCGUGAGUGAAGAAGGUUUUCGGAUCGUAAAGCUCUGUUGUAAGAGAAGAACGAGUGUGAGAGUGGAAAGUUCACACUAUGACGGUAUCUUACCAGAAAGGGACGGCUAACUACGUG
rnacentral:rRNA from 1 species